ensembl:lncRNA
ACUGCCAAUGGGGAAGGAUCUCUUCCUGGAGAUCACUUCUCUUGGAGUUUUUUCCUGGAAGCAUAUGGCUUUGGCCUUUUAUAUUUAGCUUGGCCUUCUGUGAUGGUGUAACUACAUCAGAAGAUAAAGAAAGCAUAGGCAGAUAAUAGAAAAACUACAUGGAUUAUCAUUCAAAGCACAGAGAACAAAGACAAUUUGCCAGCUGCAUGCUGCUCUCUCUGAAUUAGACUACUGAGACUCAGGAGUGAACUUUUUAAUCAGAAGUCACGGGGCUUCUGAAAAUCAUGUCUGUUUUUAAAAUGUGUCAAGUGCAGCAGCUGAAACAAAGAACAUGACAAAAAUACCAUAUCUCAGUGAUCCGUAUGGAAAACUCUAUGAUGUAAACUGUUAGCAGAAAAUUAAGUCUAAAUCUCAUAUUCUAGCCUUAACCAUUGCUAUUACAACUGAGUAUCAGGAGUAUCAGGUACUGUAUAGGCAACUGCUUCUUGGAAACUUUUAAAAACUUGGGGGGGUGGGGAGGGAAACAAACCUUACAUUUAAUACUGUAAAUAGUUGUGUAAAACACUAAUGGUAGUUUAUUUAUUAAACUUAGGUCUACAGCAUAGGUACUGUGACUAAUUUACACUAUUUUUUUCUGAUUUUUUUUCUCUGUUGCUGUAGGUAGAAUGCUAAAGAAUCUCAAAAAUACUUUAGCAUUUAUGCGUAGUUGCACAAUAAUUUGAACACUUCAGGUCUUAUUUCUAAAGGUGUACAGCAAUGAUAUGUAUGCAUAGUUUCAACGUAUCAUUGCAGAUAUACACCAUAUGGUAAUGUAUUAUAUUUUCCCUUCAACACUCUUGAGCAUUAAAUGAAUAUUUUUUUAUGUAUUAAAAUCAAAAAUAAGAACACAUGAAUCUUUGUAAUCACUAACAUUUAUCAAAUAAAAUAUUGCAAAAUAGUAGCCAAAACUAUGCUGAUAAAUGACAGUAGCACCACCAUUUUGUGGAAUGGUCCAUACUGGCACAGUUGUUCAUUAAAGACUAAAAAUAUAUGGGGGACAUUUUGGCUGCUUGUGAUGCUUAGAACUAUCAUUAUUAUAUGGGAAAGCUACAUUUAGCUAGUUAUCUCUUUCUACUAAUUCUUUUUUUUAAAAAAAAAAAAAAGCUAAGAGAGAAAACCUUGGGGGAUGUAACCAUGAAAUCUAGCUGACUUGACAGCCCUAGUCCAGAGGAGCUAGAACACUGAAAAAAUAAGUAUUUCUAAUGCUAGAUUAGCAUCUCUGUUUUGUCUCAGUUUGAAAGUCUUCAAAAAAGAAUCUUUUAAAAAUCUCAUUAUCCAGUGUCAUGUUUAAUAAUCAGAUGAUGUUCAUAUAUGCUUUGUUACUCUUGUUACUACUACAGUUUUAUUAAAUACUAAAGCUAAAAGUCAUACAAUUUCUCCCUUAUUCACAAGCUGACUCUAUUUUGCAUUUUUGUUAUAGUAACCUUAUCAUUCAUUUUGUAUCCUUCAUUUAUUUUGCUAGUUUCAUAGUC